GUAGGUGGCAAGCGUUGUCCGGAAUUAUUGGGCGUAAAGCGCGCGCAGGCGGGUUCUUUAAGUCUGAUGUGAAAGCCCACGGGCUCAACCGUGGAGGGUCAUUGGAAACUGGAGAACUUGAGUACAGAAGAGGAAAGCGGAAUUCCACGUGUAGCGGUGAAAUGCGUAGAGAUGCGGAGGAACACCAGUGGCGAAGGCGGCUUUCUGGUCUGUAACUGACGCUGAGGCGCGAAAGCGUGGGGAGCAAACAGGAUUAGAUACCCUGGUAGUCCACGCCGUAAACGAUGAGUGCUAAGUGUUAGGGGGUUUCCGCCCCUUAGUGCUGCAGCUAACGCAUUAAGCACUCCGCCUGGGGAGUACGACCGCAAGGUUG
rnacentral:rRNA from 1 species